GCUCAGCCGCUCCUGGGUGGGCGUGGGGUGACUGGGUGAACUUGCGACCAGGUGAACCUGCGACCAGGAAGCGACUGGCUGGAAUGGGGAUGGCCAGUGGCCCGGGCCCCCCUGACCCAGCGGAGUUCUCGAGAGUGUAGGUGCCCUUCCGGCUUGUGCUAAGGAGAGCUCAUCGAGGAGGCUGGCUUCAGGAGGAUGCAAAUCCUGGGAGCUGCUGCUGUUGGAGAUUAUUUGUGCAUUGCAGCAAGGACCCUUGAGAGGGGAUGGAGUGUGGGGGUGGUUGGCGCCCGGCUCUGCCAUCCCUUAGUGUCUGGUCUUCCAGGGGCUUGUGCUCCUGAAAGUCCCACUGCCUCAGCAGAAAAGAAGGUAAGAACUGCUCCUGAAAUUACGAGGGAAGUCUGGUGUCCCCAGCCUUUGACACCUGGAGCUUGGGGGGAGACUGGCUGAGAGGACCGUCAGCAGAGAGGAAUCUGAAUGAAGGUGGACAGGUGAAACCCAAAGAGGGUUAGCUAUGCAGGGGGAGCAUGUGGCAGAUUAAGCCUGGGAGUGGCAUCUCGGGGUGAAAAGGGUGUUUAUGUGGGGGGGGCUGGUGAUAGCCGAUGUGAGCUUGCCAUGUCCAUCUAAAAGGUCAUGGCUAUUUUUAGGAAGUGGGUGACAAGGCAUGUUUCUGUUGAACCAACAUGAGUGAGUCCCCACUGUUUGCCCAGCCCUGUGCUAUGU
rnacentral:lncRNA from 1 species